rnacentral:rRNA from 1 species
UACGUAGGGGGCAAGCGUUGUCCGGAAUUAUUGGGCGUAAAGCGCGCGCAGGCGGUUCGUUAAGUCUUGUGUUUAAGGCUAAGGCUCAACCUUGGCAAGCAGAGGAAACUGGCGGACUUGAGUGCAGGAGAGGAAAGUGGAAUUCCACGUGUAGCGGUGAAAUGCGUAGAGAUGUGGAGGAACACCAGUGGCGAAGGCGACUUUCUGGCCUGUAACUGACGCUGAGGCGCGAAAGCGUGGGGAGCAAACA